CCUACGGGAGGCAGCAGUGGGGAAUAUUGGGCAAUGGGCGCAAGCCUGACCCAGCAACGCCGCGUGAAGGAAGAAGGCUUUCGGGUCGUAAACUUCUUUUCUCAGGGACGAAGCAAGUGACGGUACCUGAGGAAUAAGCCACGGCUAACUACGUGCCAGCAGCCGCGGUAAUACGUAGGUGGCAAGCGUUAUCCGGAUUUACUGGGUGUAAAGGGCGUGUAGGCGGGAAAGCAAGUCAGAUGUGAAAACCAUGGGCUCAACCUGUGGCCUGCAUUUGAAACUGUUUUUCUUGAGUACUGGGGAGGCAGACGGAAUUCCUAGGGUAGCGGUGAAAUGCGUAGAUAUUAGGAGGAACACCAGUGGCGAAGGCGGUCUGCUGGACAGCAACUGACGCUGAGGCGCGAAAGCGUGGGGAGCAAACAGGAUUAGAUACCCUUGUAGUC
rnacentral:rRNA from 1 species